CAAAAUAAUUUAGGUGAUAUAAACUCAUUUAUAUAAGGAUAUUCCCAAAAUUUUAAAAUUCGAAUUUAAUGAAUGUAUUUCAAUGUUGUCUACAUGCUUGUUCACGUUACAAAGUAGUCAAUGUAAAAAACAUGUUGUUCACGUUAGGCGGUGUCCACGUUAGACGGUGUUCACGUUACCGCGAGUGCACUGUAAUUGUUUCUACGAAGAAGAAAAGUUGCGUACAAAAAUAUUGAAAUUAAACAAAAAUCAAAAAAAUAAGUUAAACAAAAAAUAAAACGAUAAAAACAGUUGAAUAAAAACAAUAAAAAAACUUAAAAAACAAGAAAAGACUUGUGAAAAAAAUUAUAAGAUAAAUAAACUUUGAUUAAUAAAUUUAUAAUGAAUAAAAAGCAUUUUCAAAAGGGAGAUGGGAAAAGGAAGCAUUGGUGAAGCUCAGUUUAUUUGAUAUUUUGAGAGAAGCAAGGAGUAUUCGAGUUCGAAAGACGGUGGAACGCAGCCACCAUAGAAUGCAACAAAAAAAUACUUGAAGAAAUCAAAUUAAAUAGUUUUAUAA